GAUGAACGCUGGCGGCGUGCCUAAUACAUGCAAGUCGAGCGAACAGAUGAGGAGCUUGCUCCUCUGACGUUAGCGGCGGACGGGUGAGUAACACGUGGAUAACCUACCUAUAAGACUGGGAUAACUUCGGGAAACCGGAGCUAAUACCGGAUAAUAUAUUGAACCGCAUGGUUCAAUAGUGAAAGACGGUUUUGCUGUCACUUAUAGAUGGAUCCGCGCCGCAUUAGCUAGUUGGUAAGGUAACGGCUUACCAAGGCAACGAUGCGUAGCCGACCUGAGAGGAUGAUCGGCCACACUGGAACUGAGACACGGUCCAGACUCCUACGGGAGGCAGCAGUAGGGAAUCUUGCGCAAUGGGCGAAAGCCUGACGGAGCAACGCCGCGUGAGUGAUGAAGGUCUUCGGAUCGUAAAGCUCUGUUGUUAGGAAAGAACAGAUGUGUAAGUAACUAUGCCCGUCUUGACGGUACCUAAUCAGAAAGCCACGGCUAACUACGUG
rnacentral:rRNA from 1 species